rnacentral:lncRNA from 14 species
AAAAAAAAGACUCUACCAUCCAGAUGAUGGGGUUCUCUGCCCCCGCUGUGUGCAUAUCAGCUUUGCAGAUUCACGGUAACAGAACGGCUAGAUGUUCGAUCCCUUCACAUUCAUCACACUUUACAGAUAAUGAGACAAGUACUGGAGGGAGAGACGUGGCUAGAAGCAUGGACGAGUCCUGUGGGCAAGAGCUGACAGUGGCCGGAGUUGCUAUGAUGGGAUCUGUUAUUCAACUGUCUUUAUUCUCGAAAUCCCCUUUCUUCUUUGAAGUGGCCGUGUCCUGUCUCAGCCUUGCAGAUAGCUGAGGGUGUAGGUGAGUGUUGCUAUACUAACGCUCCUGACGAUCUAUUUAAGAAGCCAUUGCAAGUUGCCCCAAGUCUUUGUGUACUUGAGGACCUGUUGUUCCGUUACAUCUCCCGUAGCCCGGGCUCUUUCUGCUCC